GGAUUGUAGUCUGCAACCCGACUACAUGAAGCUGGAAUCGCUAGUAACCGCGAAUCAGAAUGUCGCGGUGAAUACGUUCCCGGGUCUUGUACACACCGCCCGUCACACCAUGGGAGUCGGAAAUGCCCGAAGUCAGUGACCCAACCGUAAGGAGGGAGCUGCCGAAGGUGGAGCCGGUAACUGGGGUGAAGUCGUAACAAGGUAGC
rnacentral:rRNA from 1 species